CUAAAAGGCAGAGGCUCUAUUACUAAAGGAAGGAUGGAGGCUGGGAAACAACCAGCUGUCUUCAACAGGGAGCGACGAUCCUCUUUGCCUUUUGGAAAGAUCUCUCUGGGAAAGGGAGAAGGAGGAAGGUCUGGAUGGCAAGGGACCAGGGCCAAGGAAAUCAUCCAAGUGAGAGCUACCGAGGCCUGAACCGAGGCAGAGACAUCUGCAGUGGAGGAAGUGGACAGAGGCUUAGGAGAGAGUUGGAGGUUGAACGGACCAGGACACAGGGACCAACUGUACUUAGACACACAUCUAAUUCACUGUACUUAGCACAGGGCUGUGACCAGCAUAUAGUAAGUGCUUAUGAGAGCGUGAAUGUACGAGGUGAGAGCAGGAGCCAAGGACAACAAGAGUAAUAAUAAAGGCUCCUGGAACUAACUUGACAGAGGAAUAUCAACACUUAAAGGUGAGUCACCAAGGCCAGUCCAGAUUCCAGAGGAUGGGAUUUAACUGGUUCUCUUGAUGGAGGAGUGAUAAGGUCACAUUGCAGAAGAACAAGUGGGAUGGGAGAUAUGAUGGCCAUCCUUGCAAAAUACAGCUGGGGCCCUGCCUCAGGGGAGGAGCCAGUCCAUUGGUCUGCCCCUCAGGAGAGAGGGAUAUGUGGCUUUUUACUGGCAACACGCCUCCAACACCCUUGGAAGAGUGCUGGUUCUGCUGAAGUGGUGCUUCCUAUCAAGCCCUGGGAGGAGCCAGUCAUCCUCUGAGCUUGGAAGAGGCCAUGUGCUGAGCAUCUCUAUGGAGAAGGGCGUGUGGCAGAGGAAUUGAGGGCUCCUGCCAAGAGCGAUGUGCGCGAGCUUACGGUAAGGGCGUCCCUCCGUCCCAGUUAAAGCCUUCGGGUGUCUGCAGCCCUGGCUCGCUGCUUGACCACAAACUCAUGAGAGACUCUGAACUAAGCUGCCUCCCGAUUCUGCCUCUCAGAAGUUGUGUGGGAUAAUAAAUGCUUAUUGCUUUAAACCACGACGCUUUGGGAGUUAUUUGUUCUGCAGCUAUAAAUGAUGAAUACGGUAUUUCAAUAAACUAAACAUGUGAGGAAAACAGCUUCUACGUGCUCUUGGCCCAGCUGGCUUUCCCGGGGACUUUCAAGCGCUUUCUGUGACUCAGA